rnacentral:rRNA from 1 species
UUUAAAUUUAGAGUUUGAUCCUGGCUCAGGACGAACGCUGGCGGCGUGCUUAACACAUGCAAGUCGAGCGAUGAAGCUUCCUUCGGGAAGUGGAUUAGCGGCGGACGGGUGAGUAACACGUGGGUAACCUGCCUCAAAGUGGGGGAUAGCCUUCCGAAAGGAAGAUUAAUACCGCAUAAUAUAAGAGAAUCGCAUGAUUUUCUUAUCAAAGAUUUAUUGCUUUGAGAUGGACCCGCGGCGCAUUAGCUAGUUGGUAAGGUAACGGCUUACCAAGGCAACGAUGCGUAGCCGACCUGAGAGGGUGAUCGGCCACAUUGGAACUGAGACACGGUCCAGACUCCUACGGGAGGCAGCAGUGGGGAAUAUUGCGCAAUGGGGGAAACCCUGACGCAGCAACGCCGCGUGGGUGAUGAAGGUCUUCGGAUUGUAAAGCCCUGUUUUCUAGGACGAUAAUGACGGUACUAGAGGAGGAAGCCACGGCUAACUACGUGCCAGCAGCCGCGGUAAUACGUAGGUGGCGAGCGUUGUCCGGAUUUACUGGGCGUAAAGGGUGCGUAGGCGGAUGUUUAAGUGGGAUGUGAAAUCCCCGGGCUUAACCUGGGGGCUGCAUUCCAAACUGGAUAUCUAGAGUGCAGGAGAGGAAAGCGGAAUUCCUAGUGUAGCGGUGAAAUGCGUAGAGAUUAGGAAGAACACCAGUGGCGAAGGCGGCUUUCUGGACUGUAACUGACGCUGAGGCACGAAAGCGUGGGUAGCAAACAGGAUUAGAUACCCUGGUAGUCCACGCCGUAAACGAUGGAUACUAGGUGUAGGGGGUAUCAACUCCCCCUGUGCCGCAGUUAACACAAUAAGUAUCCCGCCUGGGGAGUACGGUCGCAAGAUUAAAACUCAAAGGAAUUGACGGGGGCCCGCACAAGCAGCGGAGCAUGUGGUUUAAUUCGAAGCAACGCGAAGAACCUUACCUGGACUUGACAUCCCUUGCAUAGCCUAGAGAUAGGUGAAGCCCUUCGGGGCAAGGAGACAGGUGGUGCAUGGUUGUCGUCAGCUCGUGUCGUGAGAUGUUAGGUUAAGUCCUGCAACGAGCGCAACCCUUGUUAUUAGUUGCUACCAUUAAGUUGAGCACUCUAAUGAGACUGC